rnacentral:rRNA from 1 species
CAGUCGCCACGGUAAUACGUAGGGUGCAAGCGUUAAUCGGAAUUACUGGGCGUAAAGCGUGCGCAGGCGGUUAUAUAAGUCAGGUGUGAAAUCCCCGGGCUCAACCUGGGAACUGCAUUUGAGACUGUAUGGCUAGAGUGUGUCAGAGGGGGGUAGAAUUCCACGUGUAGCAGUGAAAUGCGUAGAUAUGAGGAGGAAUACCGAUGGCGAAGGCAGCCCCCUGGGAUAACACUGACGCUCAUGCACGAAAGCGUGGGGAGCAAACAGGAUUAGAGACCCCCGUAGUCCCUGUCUCUUAUAC